GCCAGAGGUUGUGUUCCAUUCUGUUUCUGCGCUUUGUACGUUAGCGACACAACAAUGCUGCUCAAUAAGGUUCUCAAAGCCAGUUUGCGGUCUGGGAUCCGGCUGCAGAGCUCCAGCGCGGCUGCAGCCAGUGUCGCAAAAUCUCACGGCUCAGCACAGCUCGGCUAUUCAUUUGAGCUGACGGAUCAGCAAAAGGAGUUCCAGCAGCUGGCGAGGAGGUUUGCGCGUGAAGAGAUCGUUCCUGCUGCACCUAUGUAUGACAAGACGGG